GGUGCUAUGUUAGCUCUCACUCCUGUUUAGGGGCUCAGUUUUAAACAGAAAGUAACAUCAGAAAGCUAAGACCUGAAGGAUUACUAAAAAAUAGCUGGGUGCUGGAGUUGACAGAGAGAAGGAAUGAGGAAGAAUGUUCCAGAUAGAUGGAUAGAAUGGAAGGAAGAGAAAACAGGAUUUCUUUCAGAAACUAAUCGCAACUGAAGGGGACCGGAGCAAGCAAAUUCGAAGAAACGAAAAGCACAAAUGAAUUUUCAGCUCCCUGAGAUCCUAAUCUAAACCAAGCAAAACCGUGUUGGAGACAG